UCCCUGGUGAUCCAGUGGUUGGGACUCUGCACUCCCAAUGCGGGGGCGCCCAGGUUCGAUCCCUGGUCAGGGAA